rnacentral:lncRNA from 1 species
UCCCAGGUGGGCGCGGCUCGGGCUCGCAAGUUGACUGAGAAUUCUGUGUCUCUGGGACCCGCUUUCCUGCCCUGAGGCCAGGUCUGCACUUGCAAGCGAUGCCACGAGGAGCCCCAGGCCCUGUCCGCUCCUGCCCCGCCCCUGCCUCUGGGCCCAGUGCCCGGCUGGCCCGAGGCCCGAUCCAUGCCCGAGGCCCCAUGCGGAGGCACCUCCAGUGGAUCAAUUGCUCUGCGAGGCCGUCUUCUCCCCUGACCACCGCCCAGAAGGGCCAGUCCAGGGGUCGCUCUACCGGGCUCCUCGCCUCGAGGGGGGAGCAGUGACCCUCUCCACACCCACCAGGUGACUGCGAGGACCACCCUGGAGCAAAUCAGCCUUGUCAAGAGGGACAUCGCUAGCCAUGCCCAUCUGACCCCUGAAGAAUCCUGGUCCUUCAGAAUGAGGCAGGGGACCCACCAGCUCGCACAGCACCCACCCCUGCUCUUGGCUUCAGAGCAGCCCUUUGACCUGGAUUGCACGAAGGCUGGCACCCCCAGCGGCCACGACCCCCAUGGCCUCCCUUCCACUCAUGCCUGCUGCCCACCGGCCUGGUUCAGCAUCCAGGCGCCUUAUCAACCAACUUUCCGGGUAAGUAAACCCAGGCCCCCCAGGUGUGUCGCCUGGUUUUCCCAGGGCUAGGGGCCUGCUGGGAGGGCGCGAGCGAACUCAGGACUCCAGUCUGGUCCCCGAGGGGCUCCCCUCCUCUGCCCGGGUCUGGAAAGGAACCGUCCGGUGUGGGUUGGUGAGUGUUCGGGGCGGCGGCGACAGCAGGAAGGAGGUGAGAGAGGACGGCCUCGGCGCCGCCGCCCGGUGCGCACGUGCUCCCCGCUCCCUCCCGAAGGGGGC